ensembl:lncRNA
CUGGAACCAGUUAUGUUAUGCUUCGGGUUGCAUCUCCAUGGCUUAUUGAACUUUCUAUCUGUGCUUCCUUUAAAGAUAAAAGCCUCAAGAGUUGGCUCAAGUGAGCUUGCCCAGUGCUGCAAAAGAGCAGUGGAGGUGCAUGCAAGGAUACUGUUAACUGAGAAGUUGGGCCGAGUUAAAUGGUACCCUUAAUCCCCUUGAUGUCUGGCAGAGUCAAGUUAAAAGGUCUUCCCCACUUGGGGUGAAGGCUUUGCAUGUGUAGAUGCUGGUUCACUUAAGGGCAUUGCUGCCUCUGUGGUGAAAGAACCUUCUUCUCUGCUGGCGUUUGCUUCGUUGCUGAAGGAAGGAGAAACUUCUGCAGUGUCUUGUGUCAAGUGGGGGCCUGGGCUGAAGUUUUGUUCCAUGGAGGCUUUCAACAAACAGCAAGAGACAUGGCAGAGGGCUAGAAACAGGCCAAACAGAUGAAAAUUAAACCUGCAGCAGAUGUGAGGCUCAAUGUGUCAGCUCAACCUCAGGGGCAAGAAAAAGAGAAGUUGAAACUGGUUUCUUCCAUCUGAGAUGGCCACAGGCGAAGAGCAAACACACUUGGUCAAUUACCGUGGCUCAGAUGAUGCAUGGUAUUGCCAUUUUCAGGUCAAAUUUUAGAGUUAGUAGGAACUUUUCCAUGGGCUUUGUACAACAAUAUUCCACUGCGCACAGUGAGAAGUUUGAACACCCUUCGUUUCAGCGUCUAAUUUUGAGAUGAACUUGUAUCUUUCUUAAAAAAACAAAACAACAAGACCACCAAUAGCAAAAGAAAACCACCGGCCCCAAACUUUCACCUUUCUUCUCAGUAACUGAAACUCGAGUUCAUCUUUCUCUGCUUCCACGUAAUACAAGGAAAGACAUUUGAUUAGAUUAUGUGAGAUACUUUUUAAGGCAGAUGGAUUCAACACAUGGCUGCAGGACCAGGCUUUAUUAUCUCGACUAACGUGGACACAUUUUGAACACUGCUUCUCACUCUGCCAUCAGCCGCCACCACCUCUGCAGUACUGUGACAGCAAGAGAAAAAGGACAGGGAAGUGAUAAAGUUUGCACACGUAAGCAGAAAAGAACUUUCUGUCCAAAGCCAGCUGGCUUGGCUUGGCACUGAAGUGGCAUUUUAGCACAAGAUGACACGUUUAUGCGUGUACUGGAGCUAUGUUUCAAAACACUUGCCCUAGAUGCCACAGGAAGGGUCUGUGAAAUAGUUUAUCACCAAGUAACCAUAGAGAGCAGGUGAGCUGUCUGAAUACCAGUUUGUCUUCUGAGCUGGCAGACAAAUGAAACCACAGGAAGGAAUCAAAGCAAUGCUGCUGCUUUUAAUAAUUAGAAUUGAGCGUAUUUUCAGGGAAGUUUUGGGAAAGCAUGCGAUAAUCCUAUAUCACAGCCAAGAGGACAAUACGUCCAUUAAUAAAUGCCUGAUACCGUUUGCUCUGAUACAAAACUCAGAAAUGCACACCAGCCAAUCCAUGUUAACACAGGUCAUUUCUUUAAGUCUUGUUUUCCAAAUUAGAGCAAACCCCCCAGCAUAAGAUGAAUGGGCAUCUUUGCCUUUACCUGAUAAAGUGCCUGAACGAUUAGGGAGGCUGAUGGCUUCUACAGAUCCUGUGGGACACAGAUCAGUCAUCCCACGUGUAACCCCAAAGAAAUAACUGAAAAUAAAUCACAGCAACAUUUGUACUUUGGAGUCUGGAUACCAUCAUAAAAUGCCAAAAAUGCACCUUGUAUACUGCCCAAGUUUAAAGAUUAAACUUUAUUUCAGAAGUUAACUGCUAUAAAAGUUUCUUUGCUAUAUGUUGCACAUUAUAACAGAUCACGCAGACCUUCUGUGGGCUCUGUGUGUGAAGUUUACAAGACCAGGACAGUAGCAUAUGUCUCGUGUGCAAUUUGAUCAAUAGAGUUACAGCAAAACAGAUCAAGUCUAGGAAAAAUAAUGCUUAGAUUUACAUGUUAAGAGCAGCACUUGCUGUCUGCAGUGGGAGCCAAGGAUGCUCUGAGCAAGACACAAUUACCUGCCUUUCAAGAGUUCCACAAGUCAUUUGUCACGAGGUCCCACCAACUUCACAUCUACUUUAAAAAGCAGUUUGAAGACUUUUUAGGUAUUAUGGUCUCCUAUAUCUAUUUCUGUCUCUUUUGUUUCCUAACAGCAUGAGAUACUGACCACACAUACUGCAGUCAAAUAUAGAAAUUAAACCUACAGGAAAAAGGAUGUCUUCUCUUUAAUCUCUUGGAGAAUUUUCCAGACUAAAGCAUAGUUCUUAAAUUGAUAAUAUCCCUUUAAGAAUUUAUUUGCCAGGUAAUGUUAGAAGAAAAAAGAGAUUAGGGCUAGUUUGAACAUUAGAAAGGCCCUUUUUAAAAUCAAUUUCAAGUCUGUAUUAGAGAUGAGCGUUGUCUGAACAUGCUUCCAACAGAUAAAAUAUAUUCUGCACCUUAGGAACGCAAAUAACUUGAAAAUCCUUGAGACUCCCAGCUCUUUGCAAAAAGGUCAAACUCUAUCCUAAGAAAUAUUUCAUUGCAUAGAAAUAAUGGUUUAGUGUUGCCGUAUAUGAAAGUCAGAAUCUGUAAGGCUACGAAGUUAAUAACAGAUCAAGGGCUGAAGUUUUUGAAUAAUGUAGUAAAUAUUUCUUAAAUGAGUGAAAUGAUACGAUACCACGGGAAGAGAGAAAUGCGUUUUAAUAAAGAAAAUAUUGAAUGUAAGAAUAUUUCUUUAGAUCUACCAUGCAAUCUGUGUGUUCUCUAUGAGAUGUCAAACUACACGGUGCAUAUGUACACUGCGCUCUCUAUAAAUAUACAUGUGCAUGACAUAUUUCUGAAGGCAGUAAAUGAAUGCUGGGGAAAUACGGCAACAAUGAAGUUCCUAAGAGAAGGUUAGUUUUUCAAGUUAUUAAAAGAAGGUGGCAAGCAUUCAUGAGGAUAUGAAAAUUUAAAGCUGUCUGCAGGAAACUCUGAAAACCUCUGGUUAAGGCUGCUGCCAAAAAAUCUCAGCUAUGUUAUGUCAGAAUAUUUAAUUGCAAGCUGCAAUUUUAAUGAAUGGAAAGAUAUGGCAAAAGGAGGAAGUUUUCUGCAGCAACACAGAACAGCCAUGAAAAUAAAAUGCCAAAGGUUGUAAUCUUGGACGCUGUAGGAAUCAGGAAUUUCCAUCCACGUUCUGACUCCUUUUCCUACUGUGAGAGUUUGCCAGCUGCCUGGCUGAAGGGAGGUAAGCUGUUCUG